rnacentral:tRNA from 1 species
GCGGUCGUGGCGAAACUGGCAGACGCGCUAGGUUGAGGGCCUAGUGGCCGUUAAGGCUGUGCGGGUUCAAAUCCCGCCGACCGCA